rnacentral:rRNA from 1 species
CCGCGUGAAGGCNGACUGCCCUAUGGGUUGUAAACUUCUUUUGUAUAGGGGAUAAACCUACCCUCGUGAGGGUAGCUGAAGGUACUAUACGAAUAAGCACCGGCUAACUCCGUGCCAGCAGCCGCGGUAAUACGGAGGGUGCAAGCGUUAUCCGGAUUUAUUGGGUUUAAAGGGUCCGUAGGCGGACUUAUAAGUCAGUGGUGAAAGCCUGUCGCUUAACGAUAGAACUGCCAUUGAUACUGUAAGUCUUGAGUAUAUUUGAGGUAGCUGGAAUAAGUAGUGUAGCGGUGAAAUGCAUAGAUAUUACUUAGAACACCAAUUGCGAAGGCAGGUUACCAAGAUAUAACUGACGCUGAGGGGACGAAAGCGUGGGGACCGAACAGGAUUAGAUACCCUGGUANUCCACGCCGUAAACGAUGCUACUCNUUUUUGG